UGGGGAAUAUUGGACAAUGGGCGCAAGCCUGAUCCAGCCAUGCCGCGUGUGUGAUGAAGGCCCUAGGGUUGUAAAGCACUUUCAACGGUGAAGAUAAUGACGGUAACCGGAGAAGAAGCCCCGCCUAACUUCGUGCCAGCAGCCGCGGUAAUACGAAGGGGGCUAGCGUUGUUCGGAAUUACUGGGCGUAAAGCGCACGUAGGCGGAUUGUUUAGUCAGGGGUGAAAUCCCGGGGCUCAACCCCGGAACUGCCUUUGAUACUGGCAAUCUCGAGUCCGAGAGAGGUGAGUGGAAUUCCGAGUGUAGAGGUGAAAUUCGUAGAUAUUCGGAGGAACACCAGUGGCGAAGGCGGCUCACUGGCUCGGUACUGACGCUGAGGUGCGAAAGCGUGGGGAGCAAACAGGAUUAGAUACCCGUGUAGUCC
rnacentral:rRNA from 1 species